rfam:Ictidomys tridecemlineatus contig076275, whole genome shotgun sequence.
UGGGUUGUGGCUCAGUGGUAGAGCGCUCACCUAGCAUGUGUGAGGCCCUGGGUUCGAUCCUCAACACAC